CCUGAAGGGGACACAGUCCCCCUGAACUAUAGGUCCCUGAAGGGCACCUAGUCCUCCGAACUAUAGGUCCCUGAAGGGCACCUAGUCCCCCGAACUAUAGGUCCCUGAAGGGC